CAGUAGCCGCGGUAAUACGUAGGGGGCAAGCGUUAUCCGGAAUUACUGGGUGUAAAGGGAGCGUAGACGGUUAAACAAGUCUGAAGUGAAAUGCCGGGGCUCAACCCCGGAGCUGCUUUGGGAACUGUAGAACUGGAGUGUCGGAGGGGCAAGCGGAAUUCCCAGUGUAGCGGUGAAAUGCGUAGAUAUUGGGAGGAACACCGGCGGCGAAGGCGGCUUACUGGACGACAACUGACGUUGAGGCUCGAAGGCGUGGGUAGCAAACAGGAUUAGAUACCCGCGUAGUCCCUGUCUCUUAUAC
rnacentral:rRNA from 1 species